rnacentral:rRNA from 1 species
GACCGCCAGCUAAGGUCCCAAAGUCAUGGUUAAGUGGGAAACGAUGUGGGAAGGCCCAGACAGCCAGGAUGUUGGCUUAGAAGCAGCCAUCAUUUAAAGAAAGCGUAAUAGCUCACUGGUCGAGUCGGCCUGCGCGGAAGAUGUAACGGGGCUAAACCAUGCACCGAAGCUGCGGCAGCGACACUAUGUGUUGUUGGGUAGGGGAGCGUUCUGUAAGCCUGUGAAGGUGUACUGUGAGGUAUGCUGGAGGUAUCAGAAGUGCGAAUGCUGACAUAAGUAACGAUAAAGCGGGUGAAAAGCCCGCUCGCCGGAAGACCAAGGGUUCCUGUCCAACGUUAAUCGGGGCAGGGUGAGUCGACCCCUAAGGCGAGGCCGAAAGGCGUAGUCGAUGGGAAACAGGUUAAUAUUCCUGUACUUGGUGUUACUGCGAAGGGGGGACGGAGAAGGCUAUGUUGGCCGGGCGACGGUUGUCCCGGUUUAAGCGUGUAGGCUGGUUUUCCAGGCAAAUCCGGAAAAUCAAGGCUGAGGCGUGAUGACGAGGCACUACGGUGCUGAAGCAACAAAUGCCCUGCUUCCAGGAAAAGCCUCUAAGCAUCAGGUAACAUCAAAUCGUACCCCAAACCGACACAGGUGGUCAGGUAGAGAAUACCAAGGCGCUUGAGAGAACUCGGGUGAAGGAACUAGGCAAAAUGGUGCCGUAACUUCGGGAGAAGGCACGCUGAUAUGUAGGUGAAGCGACUUGCUCGUGGAGCUGAAAUCAGUCGAAGAUACCAGCUGGCUGCAACUGUUUAUUAAAAACACAGCACUGUGCAAACACGAAAGUGGACGUAUACGGUGUGACGCCUGCCCGGUGCCGGAAGGUUAAUUGAUGGGGUUAGCGGUAACGCGAAGCUCUUGAUCGAAGCCCCGGUAAACGGCGGCCGUAACUAUAACGGUCCUAAGGUAGCGAAAUUCCUUGUCGGGUAAGUUCCGACCUGCACGAAUGGCGUAAUGAUGGCCAGGCUGUCUCCACCCGAGACUCAGUGAAAUUGAACUCGCUGUGAAGAUGCAGUGUACCCGCGGCAAGACGGAAAGACCCCGUGAACCUUUACUAUAGCUUGACACUGAACAUUGAGCCUUGAUGUGUAGGAUAGGUGGGAGGCUUUGAAGUGUGG